rnacentral:rRNA from 1 species
CCUAAAGGCGUAAUGRAAGUGUCCSGAGGGCGCUUGCSCUCUCUUUGGGAGGAUGGGCAUCCCGGACGUCKUUCCGGUGCCCCGCACUCCCGGGGCGUUUCAUUCUCAAUUUACGAGUCGAGACGCACCAGGAGCGCACACGCUGGUACCCGAAAGAUGGUGAACUAUGCCUGGCCAGGACGAAGCCAGGGGAAACCCUGGUGGAGGUCCGAAGCGAUUCUGACGUGCAAAUCGAUCGUCUGAGCUGGGUAUAGGGGCGAAAGACCAAUCGAACCAUCUAGUAGCUGGUUCCCUCCGAAGUUUCCCUCAGGAUAGCUGGCUCUCGGGAAGAGACGAGUCUCAUCCGGUAGAGCGAAUGAUUAGAGGUGAUGGGGUCGAAACGACUUCAACCUAUUCUCAAACUCCCAAUAGAUGAGAGCCCCGGCUUGCUUGAAAGUGAAGCCGCGGGACUCGGAUCAGAGGUGCCAAGUGGGCCAAUUUUGGUAAGCAGAACGGGG